AGGACGAACGCUGGCGGCGUGCUUAACACAUGCAAGUCGAGCGGUAAGGCCUUUCGGGGUACACGAGCGGCGAACGGGUGAGUAACACGUGGGUGAUCUGCCCUGCACUCUGGGAUAAGCCUGGGAAACUGGGUCUAAUACCGGGUAUGACCUGCUCUCGCAGUGGGGGGUGGUGGAAAGAUUUAGUCGGUGCAGGUAUGGGCCCGCGGCCUAUCAGCUUGGUUGGUGGGUAAUGGCCUACCGAAGGCGACGACGGGUAGCCGACCUGAGAGGGUCGACCGGCACACGUGGGACUGAGACACGGCCAGACUCUACGGGAGCAGCAGUGGGAAUAUGCACAAGUGGGACGAAAGCCUGAUGCAGCGACGCCG
rnacentral:rRNA from 1 species